ACCAGAGCCAUGCCCGAGAUAGUGGAUACCUGUUCGUUGGCCUCUCCGGCUUCCGUCUGCCGGACCAAGCACCUGCACCUGCGCUGCAGCGUCGACUUUACUCGCCGGACGCUGACCGGGACUGCUGCUCUCACGGUCCAGUCUCAGGAGGACAAUCUGCGCAGCCUGGUUUUGGAUACAAAGGACCUUACAAUAGAAAAAGUAGUGAUCAAUGGACAAGAAGUCAAAUAUGCUCUUGGAGAAAGACAAAGUUACAAGGGAUCACCAAUGGAAAUCUCUCUACCUAUCGCUUUGAGCAAAAAUCAAGAAAUUGUUAUAGAAAUUUCUUUUGAGACCUCUCCAAAAUCUUCUGCUCUCCAGUGGCUCACUCCUGAACAGACUUCUGGGAAGGAACACCCAUAUCUGUUUAGUCAGUGCCAGGCCAUCCACUGCAGAGCAAUCAUUCCUUGUCAGGACACUCCUUCUGUGAAAUUAACCUAUACUGCAGAGGUGUCUGUCCCUAAAGAACUGGUGGCACUUAUGAGUGCUAUUCGUGAUGGAGAAGCACCUGACCCAGAAGACCCAAGCAGGAAAAUAUACAAAUUCAUCCAAAAAGUUCCGAUACCCUGCUACCUGAUUGCUUUAGUUGUUGGAGCUUUAGAAAGCAGUGUGGCUAUGUGAAACAAAUGAGAUAAAACAUAUUAAAGAACUUGGAAGCCUACAAAUAUUACAGAAAUGCAAAUUGGCCCAAGAACUUUGGUGUGGUCUGAGAAAGAGCAGGUGGAAAAGUCUGCUUACGAGUUUUCUGAGACUGAAUCUAUGCUUAAAAUUGCAGAAGAUCUGGGAGGACCGUAUGUAUGGGGACAGUAUGACCUAUUGGUCCUGCCACCGUCCUUCCCUUAUGGUGGCAUGGAGAAUCCUUGCCUUACUUUUGUAACUCCUACUCUACUGGCAGGCGACAAGUCACUCUCCAAUGUCAUUGCACAUGAAAUAUCUCAUAGCUGGACAGGGAAUCUAGUGACCAACAAAACUUGGGAUCACUUUUGGUUAAAUGAGGGACAUACUGUGUACUUGGAACGCCACAUUUGCGGACGAUUGUUUGGUGAAAAGUUCAGACAUUUUAAUGCUCUGGGAGGAUGGGGAGAACUACAGAAUUCGGUAAAGACAUUUGGGGAGACACAUCCUUUCACCAAACUUGUGGUUGAUCUGACAGAUGUAGACCCUGAUGUAGCUUAUUCUUCAGUUCCCUAUGAGAAGGGCUUUGCUUUACUUUUUUACCUUGAGCAACUGCUUGGAGGACCAGAGAUUUUCCUAGGAUUCUUAAAAGCUUAUGUUGAGAAAUUUUCCUAUAAGAGCAUAACUACUGAUGACUGGAAGGAUUUCCUGUAUUCCUAUUUUAAAGAUAAGGUUGAUGUUCUCAAUCAAGUUGAUUGGAAUGCCUGGCUCUACUCUCCUGGACUGCCUCCCAUAAAACCCAAGUAAGUACUUGCCUGCUAAUGCUUUCCUUCUCAUUCUCCUAACUCCUAGAGAGCCUCAAAAUAUCUGAAAGAAUAGUAUGCCUUCCUGAAACUGUUACUAGUUAAUGAUGAGAGCAGAGUUCUUAGGUGUUCUGGCCUUAACCCUGAGGCCAAAAGGAUAAUUUCCGCGGUUUACAAAUAUGGUUUUUUCACUUCAAGUAAUUGAGUGCCUCCUUUCUGCACAAGGAUGGUGAGGGAUUUAGAAAAUAAGCUAUUGUAUCUUCCUUCAAACUUCUGCAAUAAAAAUAUUUUAUAAGUAUUAUGUUAAUUACAACACUGUUAUAAGUUAUUAUCCGCAUUUCCCAAGGAGGUAAGUUAGGUUUAGCUAGGUAAAGUGUCUUGCCCUAGGUUGCACAGCUAGUAAGUAGUAAAAGUUGAGAUUCAAACCCUGGCAGUCUUAUUGCCUCCAAUAUACUGCUUGCUUUCUUCUUUUUUCUUAGAAACAGGGUCUCACUCUGUGGCUCAGGCUGGCGUGCAGUGAUGUGAUCUUAGCUCACUGCACCCUCUGCCUUCCAGGCUCAAGUGAUCCUCCUACCUCAGCCUUGCAAGUAGCUGGGACCACAGAUGCGCACUACCACACCCGGCUAAGUUUUUGUACUUUUGCUAGAGGCAGGGUUUCACCAUAUUGCCCAGGCUGGUCUCGAACUCCUGAGCUCAAACGAUCCACCUGCCUUUGUCUCCCAGAGUGUUGGGAUUACAGGUGUGAGCCACUGUGCCCGGCCUCAAUAUACUGCUUUUUAUACUGAACCCCCUCCUUCAAUCGGACCUGAACCCUGGUCUUUCACGAGUUGUGUGAGGACACUGACCAUGGCAUGUUCCAGUCUCUUGUUGCCUUUCUUUUGGAUCACCAAAAUUGCCUACCAGCUUCUCUUACACUAAACAGGUCAGUUUAAUUGAUGUGCAGGGAGCAGCAGGAGAGAAGCUAAGAAACAAGAUGAGGCCUGGUCAUGUUUGUAAAGCACUUUAAACAGCUAGGCUGAGAAGUGUUUGCUUGAGAAGUUACUGGGAGUUUUGAGUAUGGAACAGAUGUGGUCAGAGCGCCCCACUAACUGGGCAGUCCUGGUUAUCAUAGGCUGUGGUGGGAAACAGGAGCUCAGAUAGGGAGGGGUGAUUACAGUAGAAUGUUUCAAAUUUUGUUUUGGAAACAGGUGGCACAAAUCAUCAGUAAACCCUUUGAACGUCUAAAAAAGGUAUCAGCAAAAAUAAUACUUUAGAUUUUUUUCCUAGCACUUCAUUAAGAAGUGCCAUACAUUAUCUCGUUAAGUUUUACAACAGCCUUACUAGAGAUUAUGAGGACCUGAAGUAAUACAAAGGCAGUGGAAAAGAAAGGAGUAACUGAGAGAAGAGACGUUUGGGGGCUAGAAUCUAUUGGCAACUGAUUGGCUGUGGUGAGAAAAGAAGAAAUUAAAAAUGACUGAGCAGAGAUGUAAUAAAGAUUCAGCUCAAUCCAGCACACAUUUAUUGUCAGGCACUAAUAUGAUGAAUAAGGAACUCACAGAGCAAAUAUGUAUGUAUCAAGUCAUUAUAAUACAAUGAAAAGUAUUUUUUAAAAAAAUAUUAAUUGUUGCAGGUGAGGAAACUAUUAAUUUUAAUGGUGAUGGAUUUGGACAUCGUCUUGGAGAUGACUUACAAAGGAGAAUACAAGAAGUAAACUUUAGAACCUUAGAGGAUCUUCAUUUUAGAGCUAGGACAGAGGAAAGGUAGCAAAAUAAAUGGAAAAUUAGAAAGAUUUCAAAGGUUAAUUCAUUGUUAAGAAAGCUGUGGGAAGAAAUAAUUUAAAAGUGGUACGGAGAGUGGUCAGCAGUCUGGUGUGCUGUAGAAUUAUCAGGAGCCUGGGAAUAAAAGCAUAGAAUUUGGAGUUUGGAGUCUUUCAAAGACUCUAACUUCGGGGGCCUGAUAAAGCCAAAAGACAGUUCCAGGAAGUUUAGGAGUGGAGAAGGCUUUGCCCAUUGCUUUUAAAAUUGGGGAAAUCGGGGUGGAAAAUUAGUUCUUCAAAAGUGUUUCUUUGAUAUCACCGCUGCUAAGGGAUCCUUUUUGGGCGUUGGUUCAUUCUAGAUCCCUUGGAUUGCUUUCAAGUAAUACCAAAGUGCUGGAGGAACCCUGGAAUCAUUCCUGUGCCCAGAGAUUCUGUAAAGAGAGAGUAUCUUAGAAAAUCUCAAACCACAGAAAAUACAUUGAUCCAUUGCAGCACAGAAUCUUGGCUUCCACGAUCCUCUUUUUAUAAUGCUCUCAUCAUUUGUAUAUGUAUUUAAAUAUCUGAGUCUAUCCACAUCUCUCCAUUUCCACUACCACUGUUCAAGUUCAGUAUCACAUCUUCACAUCCUGGAAGACUGUUCUGGCACCCAAACUGUGCACUUGUAUCUAUCUGUUCUGACUUCUCCCAGCCACUCUCCACACUAAAGCUAGAGUAAACCUUUAAAAGCACAAAUGUGUCAUGGUGUCCUCCUGCUUAGCAGUCUCCACUGGUAUCUCUUUGCUGUUGGGCUAAGACAAAAUCCUUUAGUGGGGAUUAUAAGCUCCUCACACUCUAGUUCCCUUUACUUCAGUCACACUGGCAGUUUUGGAGUUUCUCAAAUUCCCCAUAUGUCCUCCAACAUAGUACCUGAGCAUGCUGUUUCCUCUACCCGGAGCCCUUUGCCCAGUUAAUUCCAAUCUCAGCUCAAGAACCACUUCCUCAUGGAAGCAUUUCUUGACAUCCCUGGCUAGGUCAAAUCUCCCAUUCUAGGGCUUCUUAGUGCUAUAUCCUCUCUUUGUAGCAGUUGCACAGUUCUAACUUUACAUUUAUUCGUGUGAUUAAAGUAUUUCCUCUUCGCUAUACUGUCAGCACCAUGAGAACAAGGCACAUAUCUGGUUUUGCUCUUUACUUUUCUUAAGACUUUGCCAUAAGUAGGGUCCUUUCCCAGGCUAAUUCUUAACUUAGUACUUUUAAUUACACUAAUAAGGAAGUUUCAGGACACGAAGAAACAGACCAGCUAAAGGUUUUCUACUUUGCUAUUAUUUUUUAAGAAAUCAAUGCUAAUAAUGUUUUAGUUGAAAGCAGUGUAUUCUGAUCAGUCAAGGACCUCUGAUCCCACCUGUUCUGGAAGACAAAAUGGCAUGCCUGCAGUCCACAACCUGACACUUCAUGUAAUAAACUGGCAGCUGCUUCGAGGUGGGAGCUGCGUUGACCUCUUUAUUGUCUCCCCUAGGGAACAAACGGAGUCCCAGUCACAACUCUCUUUAAGGGAGAUUCAGUGGUAACCUCUAAUCAAAACUUACUUCAUUUAGGCUCUAAGGGGCAGGUGCCUCUCUGUUCCCUAAUACAAGCAUUUCAGUGCAAGCAAGCAUGAUUUAUGGACAAAGAGGGAUGUUUUGCGAGAAUUUUGCACACACUACAUGUUCUUUCCCAUUGUUGCAAAAUAUGAUUUCUAAGUUGAGAACACACAAAUAUUGGUAUAAUUUGCUUAACAAUUACCAUGUGUUAAUUUCACUUUCUUCUGAAAAGAAAGGAAUGAAAUCAUCAGGCAAUGGUAUCAGGCUCUCUCAAGGGUCUAGCAUCUAGAACGGUGCCAAUUAUGUAGCAGGUGCUUGCAGGUUUGUUAGAUGAUUAGAUGUUUGCAACAACCAAGUAAAAUCCAUGACAGCAAGGACUUGGUGUUGUUCAUCUUGUUGUCUUGAGUGCCUAGAACUGUUCCUGCCAUAUAGUAAAUAUGCUUAGCUGAUUCCAACUACUUUACAUAUACUACUUGAGCACAUGACAGUCUUUUGCUGAGGUGCUUUGGCAUUCUUUCUAAAAGAUGGGUGUUUCAUUACUGUGGUAUCCAUUUGGGUUUGUGAGUUCUUGGAUGAUGCCAGUAGUAUGUAAGUUAAGUAAAAUAUUUCCUAUUUUCAUCACUUUGGAGUUUGUUUUCCUUAUAUAAAAGGGACUUUGAAAUUUAAGUAUGUAUUGUAGCUUUAAAACUGCAUUUCUGCAAAAGCACGUGCAUUUUUAAACAAUUUAAUCUUUAUUUUUGCAGUUAUGAUAUGACUCUGACAAAUGCUUGUAUUGCCUUAAGUCAAAGAUGGAUUACUGCCAAAGAAGAUGAUUUAAAUUCAUUCAAUGCCACAGACCUGAAAGAUCUCUCUUCUCAUCAGUUGAAUGAGUUUUUAGCACAGACGCUCCAGACGGCACCUCUUCCAUUGGGGCACAUAAAGCGAAUGCAAGAGGUGUACAACUUCAAUGCCAUUAACAAUUCUGAAAUACGAUUCAGAUGGCUGCGGCUCUGCAUUCAAUCCAAGUGGGAGGAUGCAAUUCCUUUGGCGCUAAAGAUGGCAACUGAACAAGGAAGAAUGAAGUUUACCCGGCCCUUAUUCAAGGAUCUUGCUGCCUUUGACAAAUCCCAUGAUCAAGCUGUCCGAACCUACCAAGAGCACAAAGCAAGCAUGCAUCCCGUGACUGCAAUGCUGGUGGGGAAAGACUUAAAAGUGGAUUAAAGACCUGCGUAUUGAUGAUUUUAGAGAUUUCUCUUUUUUAAAUGGAAUUCGUAAAGAAAUAUAAAACUUCCGCUCAUAAUUAAAACUGUCUUUUUAGUUUUGGCUUUUUAUUGUUUUGUUGGUGAUUUUACUAAAAUAAAGUUGAGCUACUACUUC
rnacentral:sRNA from 1 species